GUCAGGUAUGCAGCAGAGGUGAGGCUGGUUUGUUUGGCUCUCAGCACGUUGUCAGGAAGGCUGUUCCGGUCUGUGUGGUGAUCUUCCGGGUGGCAGCCGGUUUUGGGAUUCUCUCGCAUACUGGAAGGCUCAAUAUUGAUUGCUCGGUGUGGCGUCUAGUUCUGUUGUGGGCUGUUUGCGUUUAAGGGCUUUGUGCCCCUGAAUUGUGUCCUGAUCAUCUUGACCGCAGACCCUCCGGUGGGCUGACGGUGUCUACUUCGCAUUGUUUGUGGAUGUCUCCUCCAAACACUUUGAAGCUACAGCGUGCCGUCUAACCCUCCACUGUGCAGGUUGCAUGGUGUUAUCGCCAGGGUCGCCAUCCUUUGCUUGCUGCUGUUUUGCCUCUGUUUGUCUUUGCUCAUUUGAUUUGCAUGUCUUGUCCUUGUCAUUAUAUCUUGUGAUUUAUUUGGUUAAGUGUAGAAGUCUUUUAUUUUCAUGUUCUUUUGGCUUUAUGUUAUUUCGUUUGCAUGAUUUUGGGAAGCUUUAAGUAGGCACAUAUGCAGGCAUAGUUAGGCCUGCCCGCUGUGUAAUUCUACAGCCUAGUCUAGGCCUCCUAUUGCUGCUGGGCUUCUCAAAGCAGUUGUGUCUGUCUAUCUAUUUGAAUUUGUCCUUUGGAUGGCCAUCCACUCCCUUAUUGUGUGUUUGUCUUGUAUGUCUUUGAUUUAGUUCCUGUUUGUAUCCAUUGUGGUAAUGGGACAAUUCAGUCAGCUCUAAGGGUCAGCCUGUGUCAUCCGGGCCUAGUGUGAUUACUGUUGUUGUCUGUACUUUUCGUUGUCUGUUGUGGUUUGUUUUGCAGGAGUAGGGGGUGCUACAGGGGAGGCUGGUCACCUGGUGUUGGUGGGAGUCUAGCUUGUAGUGCAUGUGUGGCUUCACUGUGUGUGUUUCCAGUACUGUUCACCUGUGUGGGUUGCGGUGGUUGCUGUCUCCUAUAUCCACGUGUGAUCCUGACAUCCCUUUCUUCAGGAUAGCCUGCCUCCCUCUGGUAAGCCCCUUCCUCCAGUUCAACUAAUUGUCUUGUCUUAUGUUUUGUUACCUUCCCAC